UUUUGUCUUCAAAUAUUACAAAACUACUCUCUCUCUAUCCUCCGUCUUGAUAGCCAAAAACAGCACUUUCAAAGGUUUGGAUUGGAUUAGCUUAACCUUUCUCAAGUUGAAAACUUGACCCUUCACCCUCCUCUCUCCUCUCAUCCAUUUUCCCUUAUCCUUCCUGAUACUUUCUUGGGUUUUUGUUAAAGUGUUUUGCUUUUACUUUCCUUGUCCCCACCAUCAUCACCCCCACAAACUUCACAGUCACCAAGACUAUUCUUUUAUCAUAUAGUUUACUCUAGAGGACAAUAAUAUAUAUACCCCCCGUUGGAAUAAUACGUGCCUCUCUUCAUUCUCUAGAACAAAGGAAAAGAUAAAGAGUAUUUGGUGCAAGAUGGACCUGUAACUCUCUCUAACCAGUGUCAAAGGCCUCUACUUUGAUGUUUCCUGGUAUAUUUCUUCUUCCUCUCUAUCACUUUGAGCUUUGUUUUUGGUCUUGCUGAUACGGGUUUGUGUUUUGUGAGCUGUGUUUGCUAUUUCUGUUUAGCGGAUCCCUGAGUUUGAUUAUUGGGUGCGGGUUCUUGAAUUUUUGUGGGUUUAGCUUUACUUUUGGGAUGUGGGUUUUUUGUUAAACUGAGAACAGUUGAGAGUUGUGUUAGAUCCAAGGUGUUUGAUAGUAUCUGAGGACUUUUAUCAUAUUAUUUGGAACAUUUUCUCAAAGGAGGACUGGGAUUUCUAUGACUGUUUAGUUUUUCCUAGAAAGUCUGACUCAGUCUUCUUAGAAGGUGAGAUCUGGAUGGUCAGGUUAAAUAUUAGUUGGUUGAUUAAAUUCAAUUGAUUUAUAGUUUGCCUUUUUCUUUCAAUUCUAUAUCCAGUGACUCUGAUUUGAUCAUGAUCCAUCGAUUUUCUUGUAUGAAAUCCAUGUGUGCUGCUUGUUGAUCUGUUUACUUCUUUCAAUAUAAGAUAGUUUAUGGCUCUAUAGACUUUGAAACUUUUGUUUUUCAAUGGGAUGGUUGCGAAUAAUAGACGUGUAUGAGAUCUUGUUUGAAUAAUUAUGCUUAAGUAAAUGAAAAGGUGGAUUAUUAAAAGUGAGUUCAAUGAUAUUCAAUGAUCAUGCACAGUUGCACACCUUAUCUUUUUGGAAAUUAUAGGGUUUUGAGCAGUGUUUUUAAUUGUAAUUUUUAUUUAUGUCUACAGGUUUUAUCGAAAGUCAAGCUUAGGGUGGGAGCAGUUUGAGGAAUUAAAGUUUGGUGAUUGGAAUCAAUUCGAGCUUCUUAUAACCUCUAGUCAAUUUGGGGGGUUUUGUUCUGUGAAUGAUGUCGAUGUUUGAUGAGA
rnacentral:lncRNA from 1 species